rnacentral:rRNA from 1 species
ACGACGCUGGCGGCGUGCUUAACACAUGCAAGUCGAACGGUAAGGCCCUUCGGGGUACACGAGUGGCGAACGGGUGAGUAACACGUGGGUGAUCUGCCCUGCACUUCGGGAUAAGCCUGGGAAACUGGGUCUAAUACCGGAUAGGACUCCUGGCUUCAUGGUUGGGGGUGUAAAGCUUUUGCGGUGUGGGAUGGGCCCGCGGCCUAUCAGCUUGUUGGUGGGGUAAUGGCCUACCAAGGCGACGACGGGUAGCCGGCCUGAGAGGGUGACCGGCCACACUGGGACUGAGAUACGGCCCAGACUCCUACGGGAGGCAGCAGUGGGGAAUAUUGCACAAUGGGCGCAAGCCUGAUGCAGCGACGCCGCGUGAGGGAUGACGGCCUUCGGGUUGUAAACCUCUUUCAAUAGGGACGAAGCGCAAGUGACGGUACCUAUAGAAGAAGGACCGGCCAACUACGUG